AUUGAACGCUGGCGGCAGGCCUAACACAUGCAAGUCGAACGGUAACAGGAAACAGCUUGCUGUUUCGCUGACGAGUGGCGGACGGGUGAGUAAUGUCUGGGAAACUGCCUGAUGGAGGGGGAUAACUACUGGAAACGGUAGCUAAUACCGCAUAACGUCGCAAGACCAAAGAGGGGGACCUUCGGGCCUCUUGCCAUCGGAUGUGCCCAGAUGGGAUUAGCUAGUAGGUGGGGUAACGGCUCACCUAGGCGACGAUCCCUAGCUGGUCUGAGAGGAUGACCAGCCAGACUGGAACUGAGACACGGUCCAGACUCCUACGGGAGGCAGCAGUGGGGAAUAUUGCUCAAUGGGCGCAAGCCUGAUGCAGCCAUGCCGCGUGUAUGAAGAAGGCCUUCGGGUUGUAAAGUACUUUCAGCGGGGAGGAAGGGAGUAAAGUUAAUACCUUUGCUCAUUGACGUUACCCGCAGAAGAAGCACCGGCUAACUCCGUGCCAGCAGCCGCCGCAG
rnacentral:rRNA from 1 species